GAAGUGCGAUAAGCAAUGCGAAUUGCAGAACCGUGAGUCAUCAGAUUUUUGAACGCAAUUGGCGCCGGUUGGCUCUCCAACCGGCAUGCUUGUUUCAGUGUCUUGUUUUCUCAUCACCCAAAUCUUAAUGUGAGAGAUACCCUUCUCUUACCAAGUACGAAAGCACUCUGAGCUCUACAGGUGGAUUCAUUUCGGUGAGUCCGCACUCAAUGCAGCAGUCACAUUUUACUAUGUGAACUCAUUGAGAGUUGAGUCAGCGUAGUUUACUACAAGUGUUUAGAUCUCAAAACUCUUCUUGUAUCUGAAAUCAAGCAGGAUCACCCGCUGAACUUAA
rnacentral:misc_RNA from 1 species